CCUGCAUCAAGUGACACUACACUGCUCCCAUGCCCGGCAACGAAGACGGACAAAGCCCCUGCUCCGGCUUUAGAGUUGUCAAUUGGGUCGGGCCGGCCCAGCCCGAACCGGCCCAAGCCCGGUAUGGGCCGGCCCAGGACCAGCCCACUUGAUCGAAUGGGUUAGUUGGGCCGGGCCAGCCCUUUGAAAUGGGCUCCAUUUGGGUUAUUUAUCAAACCCAAGCCCGGCCCAGGACCAGGAUCGUUAGAAGCCCAGCCCAAGCCCGGCCCAGGACCAGGACCAGGCCCAGCCCAGGACCGGCCCAAGCCCAAUAAUUUAGGUUAAAUAUUAUUUAUAUAUUUAUUCCUCUUAUUCAAUAUUCAAUUCCCUACACAAUUUAGCAAUACUAAAAUAUUAAACCUAUUUAAUUUCCUAUUCAAAUACGUCCCCAAUUCAAUCUUCUAUUCAAACUUAUUAAAAUAUUAAAUUUAUUAAAUAUGAACGUGCACAUUAUUUAUAUGAUCCAUAUUAUAAUUAGUUUUCUAUUUUGACAAGGACCAUUUGAAUAGGAAAUAAAUAAGCUCAAAAUAAUUUAAAGAUAACGAUUACAAAUUUAAAACAAUCUAAAAUUGAAAACUCAUUCGUACCCAACUGAAGCUCAUUCGAAGUACAACCCAGUAUAAGCCCAUCAUACUCGACCCAGCAUAAGCCCAUGUGAGGCCCGGCCCAUUUAAGGCCCAAGCCCACUAGACAUGUGGUCCUGAAUCGGGCUGGGUUCGAUAUUUUAUAAAAAGCCCGGCCCAGGACCGGCCCAUUUCAAAUGUGGGCUUGGGCUGGGCUGGGCCUAACUCCUUACGGGCUCAACCGGGCCUGGGCCGGGCCGGGCUGGCCCAGCCCAGUUGACAACUCUAUCCGGCUUCCACUCCACCCACCGUCGCGCCGGCGUCUCUCUCUUGCGUUAGGUUUUAGAUCUCUCUUUCACACGUUCUCUAUGUCUCUCUCUUUUUCACACAAUUUCUAUGUGUCUUCCUCUCUUUUGGAUCUAAUUUCUCUCUCUCCAAAGUUGCAGUUAAAUUGUAUUCGAAGCAAAGAGCUAGCAGUCACCGCUCGCCUCGCUGAAAGGUUUUAAUUUUUUCAUUAACUUUGAUUUUAAUUGCUUUUUUGAUAAGGUGAGUUAUGAAAUAGGAGCUCUAAUAUUCGAGUGUGAUAGCAUAUAAAUCCUGAUUUGAGAUUCAAUCUCUCACUCUACCACAAUAAUGGUGAGGAAGUUCAAGUUCCUCUAGAAAAGCUGCUUCCAGAUCUCGACCUAGCUAGCUCAUCAGGAAUCUCAUGAUGAUUUGGAAUAAUAAUUUUAGUUCGUGUGUCUUUGGAAUUUCAU
rnacentral:lncRNA from 1 species